UUGAUAUUUCAAACUUGCAUAAAUAAAUAUUAAGGAAUAUAACAUAACUUGGCUUCUGAGAGCUUCAAAAUGUAGUGACUAAAAUGCUAAAGUUGUUGAUAAACAAGCAAUUAUUUUAAUAAUUAAAUAUGGUCAUUUUAAAUGAAUUAUUAUGAUAGUUUAAAAUUAAUUAUUUCAAAUAUGUUUAUUUUAAUGUAAAAUUCUAUGGCUGGAUGUAAUAAGGAGUCAGAAAAAAUAAAAAUAGAAAUACAAUUAAUUUUGAUGUUUUUAGCAAAAUAUAGUAAAAAUGUAUUUAGGUUUUUUUUUUUUUUUAAAUUAAUAAAUAUCUAUUUAUUUUUAGGUAAGAUAAACAUAAUAAUACAAUGUAUCUCUAGUCUGGAUGAUUUAGUUCUUGUCACCCUGUUGUCCUCCCGUAGUGAAAAAAGGCUGUCCUCACUCAGCUCCGGCUGAAAAUCGGGAGAUUUUCGGGAGAAUAUUUGUCCCGGGAGGUUUUCGGGAGAGGCGCUGAAUUUCGGGAGUCUCCCGGAAAGUUCGGGAGGGUUGGCAAGUAUGCCUUGUGGCGAUAUGAAAAUACUACGCGUCAUUAGUUUGGGCACUUCCGGGUUGAGACAAUUGAGAAGUAGACAAGUUGAGUAAGCUCUUACAAACCUUGGAAAAGAUAAGUCUGUAAGUAAACUGUUUAACUUGUUUAUGUAACUCAAUAUUAAAGUGGAAAGUGGUUAAUUUUGAUACUAAGAUGUUUAUUGAAAAACGAUUUUUGUGCACUGUUUCAAUGGAUGUUUUGAGGACUUAAAAUGGCUGCCAGUUGUAUAUUUACACCAUCGAAAUAGUUUCAACACUCAGAAGUAAUUGUUUGAUGAUAGUACUGUAUAUUUGUGUGAAGCUAAUAUUUACAUAUUGUGUAUUAAAUUUGAGUAUGUUAAUUGAAUCACAUAGCUUAUACAUUUGUCAUUGUGUGUAUUUCAGUUUAAAAAAAAAAAACAGUCCAGUGCAAGACAAAAGUAAAGAUAGAUAGAAAAGACAAAGCAAGAUCAACAACAAUUAAAGCUGCAAGCAGCGAUGGACGGGACCGACUUUGACGGCACAUAAAAUCCAAACCGGAGCAGUAAUUAAAACUCUUUCGUCAACUUUUAAUCAGAAGGGUUCAAACUCUCUCCUGUGCUAGUUUGAAGCCGACACGACAAACGCGCUCAGAGGAGAUAACGUUUGAAAAAAGGUGACCAGUUUUUACAAAACUUUUGUUUUGAAGGGGGAAUUGCAAACUUCCUGUUGAUCUUUGCUGGGGGUUGUUAAUUUAUGAAAUGUAGGUCUAAGUGAGACCUACAUAGAGGGUUUUGUUUCAUGUCUCUACGACAUUCCUACUGGAAGUUACAGGCAGUUUUGUCUGUGUUUUCUUCUGAGGAGCAGUUUUGUCUGUGUUUUCUUCCUAGGGGGCGCUAGAGCGCAAUUUUGAGUUUUGGUUUAUUUAUUUUUUUAUUAGGUCGCAAUUUUUGCCAGUCCUGAUGUGUGUGUCCAGUUUGGUGAGUUUUGAAGCAUGUUAAGGGGGUCAAAUUACAGCACAAGGAGGCAAAAGUGACUGUUUUUAGUAAACUUUUGUUUUGAAGGGGGAAUUGCCAACUUCCUGUUGAUUUUUGCUGAAGGGUGUCAAUGUAUGAAAUCUAGGUCUAAGUAAGACCUACAUAGAGGUUUAUGUUUCAUGUCUCUACGACAUUUGUACCGGAAGGUACAAGCAGUUUUGUCUGUGUUUUUUCCUAAGGGGCGCUAGAGCGCAAUUUUGAGUUUUGGGGUUUGGUUUUUUUAUUAGAUGGCAAUUUUUGCCAGUCCUGAUGUGUGUGUCAAAUAUGGUGAGUUUUGAAGCAUGUUAAGGGGGUCAAAUUACAGCUCAAAGAGGCAAAAGUGACUGUUUUUAGUAAACUUUUGUUUUGAAGGGGGAAUUGCCAACUUCCUGUUGAUUUUUGCUGUAGGAUGUCAGUGUAUGAAAUCUAGGUCUAAGUGAGACCUACAUAGAGGUUUUUGUUUCAUGUCUCUACGACAUUCGUACCGGAAGGUACAAGCAGUUUAGUCUGUAUUUUUUCCUAGGGGGCGCUAGAGCGCAAUUUUGAGUUUUGGGGUUUGGUUUUUUUAUUAGGUCGCAAUUUUCGUCAGUCCUGAUGUGUGUGUCCAGUUUGGUGAGUUUUGAAGCAUGUUAAGGGGGUCAAAUUACAGCUCAAAGAGGCAAAAGUGACUGUUUUUAGUAAACUUUUGUUUUGAAGGGGGAAUUGCCAACUUCCUGUUGAUUUUUGCUGAAGGAUGUCAGUGUAUGAAAUCUAGGUCUAAGUCAGACCUACAUAGAGGUUUUUGUUUCAUGUCUCUACGACAUUCCUACCGGACGUUACAAGCAGUUUUGUCUGUGUUUUUUCCUAGGGGGCGCUCGAGCGCAAUUUUGAGUUUUGGGGUUUGGUUUUUUUAUUAGAUGGCAAUUUUCGCCAGUCCUGAUGUGUGUGUCAAAUAUGGUGAGUUUUGAAGCAUGUUAAGGGGGUCAAAUUACAGCUCAAAUUGGCAGCCGGUAUAAUAAUAAUAAUAAAACCUUACAAUUACAAUAGGGUCCUCUGUCCCAAAGGGACAUUGCGGUCCCUAAUAAAGAGCCUAAAUUGAUUAAUCUGCUUUGGAUUGUUUGUUAGCUGUCUGCCAAGCUGUAUAACCUCAACACGCAUAGUGAGGGCAGAACAGGCAAUUAUUGCCAGGCUUCGCUCUCAUGUAAGGUGGGAAGAAUUGUUGAUUGAUGACUGUGGUGUUCUUAGUGUCAUAGUGUGUGUAGUUAGUAUGUUCCAAUAGCAGCAGAAGUGCAUUUUUUGGAGAGCUGUAUUAUUUUCAGUUGUGUGCCCAAGGGACUGAUUUUAUUUAACACUAUAUUAUUAUUUAUACACCUAUAGUGAUCACAGAGACAGGUUGUUUUUGUGUUACUGUAUAUAUUUGUUUUUCUGAAAAAUUCCACUUAAUAUACUUUGUGUAACAACAGUCAAUAUUUUUUUUAUUUUUUUUUUAGGGGGGUAACAGUCAAUAUUUAUUUAUUUAUUUUAUAAAAAAAAAUUCUUAUAAAAUAAAAGUGAGCUUUUGUUAAACCAAAUAUUGUUUUUUUUUCCAUAUACAACAACCUAUCUGGACUCGAUAAGAGAAUCGAUAAGGAAUCGGUUCCAUAAGAGGAUUCGAUAAUGGGCUCGAACUCGAUAAUUUCUUAUCAAACAUCAUCCCUACACGUGUUGUCAGAAGUGUCCAAAGUAGGUCUUUUUACGGCCAAAAUACUAUUACGAAGAAAGAACCACAUAAAUAGUGAAAUAAAACACCAAACAGGUUCAAUGUAAGGAUGAACUGUUGCAAUAUUGACACUAACGACACAAAAAUGCUGUUUUAUUACUUUAAAACUGGCAUUGCUCAAAAAAUUGUUGUUAUGAAUUAUCGAUCAAUUCAAGGCUCCAAUUACUUCACAUUAAAUAUUUCAGUUUGAAUAUUUUUUGGGGGUGAAAUAUUGCAUAUUUUGUGUGUUUGCCGUAUAAAUAAAAGAAGGUAAAAACUUUUUUUUUUAAAACCUCAUAAUCGAUAGUUGGAUCUGAAGUUGUAGACCAGGGGUGCCCGUUACGUCGAUAUCGGUGUCGUGCGAAAUUCUGUAUCCCUGAAAUAUUUAGUAUCCCCUACCGGGGGCCGAGCUUUGUGCCUUGUUCAGACAGCGGCAGCACUUUCAUUUUGGUUCACUAAAGUUAAAGUUAAAGUACCAAUGAUUGUCUCACACACACACUAGGUGUGGUGAAAUUUGUCCUCCCCUUGUUCACCCCCUGGGAGGUGAGGGGAGCAGUGAGCGGCAGCAGUGGCCACGCCCGUGGAAUAAUUUUUGGUCAUUUAACCCCCAAUUCCAACCCUUGAUGCUGAGUGCCAAGCAGGGAGAUAAUGAGUCCCAUUUUUAUAGUCUUUGGUAUGACUCGGCCGGGGUUUGAACUCACAACCUACCGAUCUCAGGGCGGACACUCUAACCACUAGGCCGCUGAGUAGGUUAAAAAAAAAAUAACACCAAUAUAAUGGGAACAAACACUACAGUGUGGACUCCAUUCCAUGUUAAACAAAACAAAACAAAACAAAUAUUAUGCCAGAAAAUAUGUGUAUGUUUAUUUUCCUCAAGCUAUGUACUAACAUCAUGUGGAUUAUAUGCACAGACUUUGCAUUAUACACAACUUGUGAAUUUGGACUCAUUUUAUUAAUUACCAAAAAAAAGUUAGUAGGAGAUACAUAACAUACACUAUAUUGCCAAAAGUAUUGACUUGACUCACAUAUGAACUUGAAAUGCCAUCCCAUUCCUAACCCAUAGGGUUCAAUAUGAUGUCAGUCCACCUUUUGCAGCUAUUACAGCUUCAACUCUCCUGGGAAGGCUGUCCACAAGGUUGCGGAGUGUGUUUAUAGGAAUUUUCCACCAUUCUUCCAAAAGCGCAUUGGUAAGGUCAUACCGAGAAGGCCUGGCUCUCAGUCUCCCUUCUAAUUCAUCCCAAAGGUGUUCUAUCGGGUUCAGGUCAGGACUCUGUGCAGGCCAGUCAAGUUCAUCCACACCGGACUCCAUGUCUUUAUGGGCCUCGCUUUGUGCAGUCAUGUCGGAAGAGGAAGGGGCCCGCUCCAAACUGUUCCCACAAGGUUGGGAGCAUGGAAUUGUCCAAAAUGUUCAUUCAACGUUCCUUUCACUGCAACUAAGGAGUCAAGCCCAACUAAUGAACAAAACAACCCCACACCAUAAUUCCUCCUCCACCCAAUUUCACACUCUGCACAAUGCAGUCCGAAAUGUAACGUUCUCCUGGCAACCUCCAAACCCAGACUGGUCCAUCAGAUUGCCAGAUGGAGAAGCGUGAUUCAUCAGUCCAGAUAAGGCGUUUCCACUGCUCUAGAGUCCAGUGGCGACGUGCUUUACACCACCGCAUCCCACGCUUUGCAUUGGACUUGGUGAUGUAUGGCUUAGAUGCAGCCGCUCGGCCAUGGAAACCCAUUCCAUGACGCUCUCUGCGUGCUGCACGUGGGCUAAUUGGAAGGUCACAUGAAGUUUGGAGCUCGGUAACAACUUUGCACUAUGCGCUUCAGCGUCCGCUGACCCCUCUCUGUCAGUUUACGUGGCCUACCACUUGGUGGCUGAGUUGCUGUUGUUCCCAAACUCUUCACUUCUCUUAUAAUAAAGUUGACUUUGGAAUAUUUAGGAGGGAGGGAAUUUCACGACUGGAUUUGUUGCACAGGUGGCAUCCUAUGACAGUUCCACGCUGGAAAUCACUAAAGAGCAGCCCAUUCUUUCACAAAUGUUUGUAGAAACAGUCUCCAUGCCUAAGUGCUUGAUUUUAUACACCUGUGAUUAGGACACCAUCAUUUGGAUGGGUGGCCAAAUACUUUUGGCAAUAUAGUGUAUUUCUGCCCCCCCUAUUUUCCUCAAUUGAUGUACUAACAUGUGUUUUAUUCCGUACAUACUUAGCGUCAUCCACAACAAAACUUGUGAAUUUGGACUCAUGUUGUGAUGUUAUGAGCUGGGGGUAUAAGAACUACACUACCCAGCAUGCAACAGUAGUGACGAGCAUGCGCGGUAGCCCUAAAAAGUGUUGUAUGUCGCCAUGCCGGCAGCUACAAUGUGGUUAUGAGAACUCAGCCAACACGCCUCGUCUGCAUUAUUUACAAAUAGACAGACAACACACAUGUUAUUAACCUUUUUGGUAAUUAAUAACUUAUUAAUUACAAAAAAAGGUAAAUAGAGGAUACAUAAUAUUUAUAAUCAUUGACAUCGUGCUGCCGCUGUCUGAGCAAGGCGCAGAGCUCCGCCUCCAUGCGGAAAUUAGCGAUCAUCACUAUGACGUCACUUCCGUCACUUGAUUGACGUUCACGGCACCGGAGGGUCAUUAUUAAGCAAAAAAAAAAAUGACCGAGAGGAAGGUAAGAAACACUUUUUUUUUGUUCCAACAGACUCUCGCGCCGUCAAAACUCUAAAGACCCCGACCCGCGCAGUUCCUGUCUUCACAAUUAAAGCGCCGUUUCAUCCUGCCUAACAAAAUAAGAGUCUCCGAAAGCUAACAAGCUACAAAGUUUGCCGCCAUUGUGUUUCUUGUAAAGUGUAUAUAAAAAUGACCGAGAGGAGGGCGAGAAACACGUUUUAUUUCAACAGACGCCGUCAAAACUCUAAAGACCGACCGGCGCAGUUCCUGUCUUCACAAUAAAAGCCGCUUCAUCCUGCCCGCAAUAACAAAAUAAGAGUCUCAGGAAGCUAGCGAGCACAACAAGCUAGCAAGCUACAAAGAUUGCCGCCAUUAUGUUUCUUGUAAAGUGUAUAAAAAAGAGUAUGGAAGCUGGACAAAUAAGAUGGCAAAAAACAACCACUUUCAUGUGGUAUUGGACAGAAAGGAGGACUUUUAUUCUCCUCCAUUUGAAAAUGUGGAGGUUAUCAUCACUACUGUCUGAUUCCAAUCAAUGCAAGUCGUCACAAUCAGGUAAUACACCAACUUGUAUUCUUGUCUUCAUGAAAGAAAGGAAUUAAACAUGCUUGUAUUAUCAUUAAACACCUUUUAAGUUAAAGUUAAAGUACCACUGAUAGUCUCACACACACUAGGUGCGGUGAAAUCACCCUCUGGGAGGUGAGGGGAGCAGUGAGCAGCAGCGGUGGCCGCGCUCGGGAAUCAUUUUUGGUGAUUUAACCCCCAAUUCCAACCCUCGAUGCUGUGUGCCGAGCAGGGGGGUAAUGGCUCCCAUUUUAUAGUAACUUGUUAACAAAAACGUCUCUUUCAUAAAUAAAUAAAUAUAAAUUAAAUAUAUGAAUGAUCACUUGGUCAAUGGAAAAGUAAAACGUGUGGGCACCCCUGGUCUAGAUAUUUAAAGGUAUUGAUAUAGGAUUUAUUUUUUAACACUUUUUGUGAAUCCCUGAGACUUUAAGUCAGGUUUUUUUUUUUUAACUGACAUUGCUCUAAAAACAAAAAUUCCACCAAAAUCAAUGUUAUUGGCUCCAAUUACGUCCACUUUUAACCUUUUUGGGGGGAAAUCUUGCAUAUUUAGUGUUUUUGCCAUACACAACAUGGUUUCCUUUGACAAAAUAGACCAUAAAAGAUAAUGCACAUUUAAACUUGUAACUCUAAAGUAAGUUAGAAGUUACAAAAAUGAAUAUAUGACUUAUUUUCAACACUUUUGAACCCCAGGGGACCUUUAGAUUUUUUUGUUUUUAAACUGUCAUUGCUCAACAAAAAUAAUAAUGCAUUAAAAUCAAUAUUGGUAUGAAUUAUUGACAUCAAAUAUUUCAGUUUGAAUAUUUUUUGGGGGAAAAUAUUGCAUAUUUUGUGUGCUUGCCAUAUGAAUAAAAGAAGGUAAAAACAUUAAAAAAAAAAAAUUCGUAAUCGGCAAAUAGAUCUGAAGUUUAUUUAGACAUUUAAACAUUUUAAUAUGGGACUUAUUUUUAACACUUUUUUUGGACCCCUGAGACUUUAAGUCAGGUUUUUUUUAAACUGACAUUGCUCUAAAAACAAAAAUUCCACCAAAAUCAAUGUUAUUGGCUCCAAUUACGUCCACUUUUAACCUUUUUAGGGGGAAAUAUUGCAUAUUUAGUGUUUUUGCCAUACACAACAUGGUUUCCUUUGACAAAAAAAGACUAUAAAAGAUAAUAAACAUUUAAACUUGUAACUUUGAAGUAAGUUAGAAGUAAAAAAAAAAAAAAAAAAAAAGAAUAUUUGACUUAUUUUCAACACUUUUGAACCCCAGGGACCUUUAGUCUUUGAUUUUUGCUCCAAAAAAUAAUAAUGCAUUAAAAUCAAUGUUGGUAUGAAUUAUUGACAUCAAAUAUUUCAGUUUGAAUAUUUUUUGGGGGAAAAUAUUGCAUAUUUUGUGUGCUUUCCAUAUGAAUAAAAGAAGGUAAAAACAUAAAAAAACAAUUCGUAAUCGACAAAUAGAUCUGAAGUUGAUUUAGACAUCUAAACAUAUUAAUAUGGGACUUAUUUUUAACACUUUUUUUUGGACCCCUGAGACUUUAAGUCAGGUUUUUUUUUUUAACUGACAUUGCUCUAAAAACAAAAAUUCCACCAAAAUCAAUGUUAUUGGCUCCAAUUACGUCCAAUUUUAACCUUUUUAGGGGGAAAUCUUGCAUAUUUAGUGUUGUUGCCAUACACAACAUGGUUUCCUUUGACAAAAUAGACCAUAAAAGAUAAUACACAUUUAAACUUGUAACUCUAAAGUAAGUUAGAAGUUAAAAAAAAUAAUAUAUGACUUAUUUUCAACACUUUUGAACCCCAGGGGACCUUUAGAUGUUUUUGUUUUUAAACUGUCAUUGCUCAACAAAAAUAAUAAUGCAUUAAAAUCAAUGUUGGUAUGAAUUAUUGUCAUCAAAUAUUUCAGUUUGAAUAUUUUUUUGGGGAAAAUAUUGCAUAUUUUGUGGGCUUGCCAUAUGAAUAAAAGAAGGUAAAAACAUAUAAAAACAAUUCGUAUUCGACAAAAAGAUCUGAAGUUGAUUUAGACAUUUAAACAUAUUAAUAUGGGACUUAUUUUUAACACUUUUUUUUGGACCCCUGGGACUUUAAGUCAGGUUUUUUUUUAACUGACAUUGCUCUAAAAACAAAAAUUCCACCAAAAUCAAUGUUAUUGGCUCCAAUUACGUCCACUUUUAACCUUUUUAGGGGGAAAUCUUGCAUAUUUAGUGUUUUUGCCAUACACAGCAUGGUUUCCUUUGACAAAAUAGACCAUAAAAGAUAAUACACAUUUAAACUUGUAACUCUAAAGUAAGUUAGAAGUUACAAAAAUGAAUAUAUGACUUAUUUUCAACACUUUUGAACCCCAGGGGAUCUUUAGAUUUUUUUGUUUUUAAACUGUCAUUGCUCAACAAAAAUAAUAAUGCAUUAAAAUCAAUGUUGGUAUGAAUUAUUGACAUCAAAUAUUUCAGUUUGAAUAUUUUUUGGGGAAAAAUAUUGCAUAUUUUGUGGGCUUGCCAUAUGAAUAAAAGAAGGUAAAAACAUAUAAAAACAAUUCGUAUUCGACAAAAAGAUCUGAAGUUGAUUAAGACAUUUAAACAUAUUAAUAUGGGACUUAUUUUUAACACUUUUUUUGGACCCCUGAGACUUUAAGUCAGGUUUUUUUUUUAACUGACAUUGCUCUAAAAACAAAAAUUCCACCAAAAUCAAUGUUAUUGGCUCCAAUUACGUCCAAUUUUAACCUUUUUAGGGGGAAAUCUUGCAUAUUUAGUGUUGUUGCCAUACACAACAUGGUUUCCUUUGACAAAAUAGACCAUAAAAGAUAAUACACAUUUAAACUUGUAACUCUGAAGUAAGUUAGAAGUUACAAAAAUGAAUUUAUGACUUAUUUUCAACACUUUUGAACCCCAGGGGACCUUUAGAUUUUUUUGUUUUUAAACUGUCAUUGCUCCACAAAAAUAAUAAUGCAUUAAAAUCAAUGUUGGUAUGAAUUAUUGUCAUCAAAUAUUUCAGUUUGAAUAUUUUUUUGGGGAAAAUAUUGCAUAUUUUGUGUGCUUGCCAUAUGAAUAAAAGAAGGUAAAAACAUAAAAAAACAAUUCGUAAUCGACAAAUAGAUCUGAAGUUGAUUUAGACAUUGAAACAUAUUGAUAUGGGGCUUAUUUUUUACACUUUUUUGGACCCCUGAGACUUUAAGUCCGUUUUUUUUAAACUGACAUUGCUCUAAAAACAAAAAUUCCACCAAAAUCAAUGUUAUUGGCUCCAAUUACGUCCGCUUUUAACCUUUUUAGGGGGAAAUCUUGCAUAUUUAGUGUUGUUGCCAUACACAACAUGGUUUCCUUUGACAAAAUAGACCAUAAAAGAUAAUACACAUUUAAACUUGUAACUCUAAAGUAAGUUAGAAGUUACAAAAAUAAAUAUAUGACUUAUUUUCAACACUUUUUAACCCCAGGGACCUUUAGAUUUUUUUGUUUUUAAACUUUCAUUGCUCAACAAAAAUAAUAAUGCAUUAAAAUCAAUGUUGGUAUGAAUUAUUGACAUCAAAUAUUUCAGUUUGAAUAUUUUUUGGGGGAAAAUAUUGCAUAUUUUAUGUGCUUGCCAUAUGAAUAAAAGAAGGUAAAAACAAUUUGUAAUCGACAAAUAGAUCUGAAGUUGAUUUAGACAUUUAAACAUAUUGAUAUGGGACUUAUUUUUAACACUUUUUUGAUCCAAUUACGUCCACUUUUAACCUUUUUUCGGGGGAAAUAUUGCAUAUUUAGUGUUUUUGCCAUACACAACAUGGUUUCCUUUGACAAAAAAGACCAUGAAAGAUAAACAUUUAAACUUGUAACUCUGAAGUAAGUUAGAAGUUACAAAAAUGAAUUUAUGACUUAUUUUCAACACUUUUGAACCCUGAGGACCUUUAUUCUUUGAUUUUUUUAACUGACAUUGCUCUAAAAACAAAAAUUCUACCAAAAUCAAUGUUAUUGGCUCCAUUUACGUCCACUUUUAACCUUUUUAGGGGGAAAUAUUCCAUAUUUAGUGUUUUUGCCAUACACAACAUGGUUUCCUUUGACAAAAUAGACCAUGAAUGUUCCAAAUAAGUGUUUGAUGAGCAUCCCUCAACUUCCUCAGUCUUUUUGCCACUUGUGCCAGCUUUUUUGAAAACAUGCUGCAGGCAUCAAAAUCCCAAAAAAUUGCAAAAAAUAACGUUUUCCAGUGUGAACAUUAAAUAUCUUGUCUUUGCAGUCUAUUCAAUUGAAUAUAGGUUGAAAAGGAUUUGCAAAUCAUUGUAUUCUGUUUUUAUUUACCAUUUACACAACGUGACAACUUCACUGCUUUUGGGGUUUGUAUUAAUGUAUGACUUAUUUUUAACACUUUUGGGUUCUUGGGACUUUUAACACUCACCCAUAAUGAGGGAAGCCCUAAUGGAAUAUAUAUUGUAUUGUUUUUGAAAAUAGAAAAUAUCACAAAGG